rnacentral:rRNA from 1 species
UAAAAGUCGUAACAAGGUUUCCGUAGGUGAACCUGCGGAAGGAUCAUUAGUGAAUAUAGGACGUCCAACUUAACUUGGAGUCCGAACUCUCACUUUCUAACCCUGUGCACUUGUUUGGGAUAGUAACUCUCGCAAGAGAGCGAACUCCUAUUCACUUAUAAACACAAAGUCUAUGAAUGUAUUAAAUUUUAUAACAAAAUAAAACUUUCAACAACGGAUCUCUUGGCUCUCGCAUCGAUGAAGAACGCAGCGAAAUGCGAUAAGUAAUGUGAAUUGCAGAAUUCAGUGAAUCAUCGAAUCUUUGAACGCACCUUGCGCUCCAUGGUAUUCCGUGGAGCAUGCCUGUUUGAGUGUCAUGAAUACUUCAACCCUCCUCUUUCUUAAUGAUUGAAGAGGUGUUUGGUUUCUGAGCGCUGCUGGCCUUUACGGUCUAGCUCGUUCGUAAUGCAUUAGCAUCCGCAAUCGAACUUCGGAUUGACUUGGCGUAAUAGACUAUUCGCUGAGGAAUUCUAGUCUUCGGAUUAGAGCCGGGUUGGGUUAGAGGAAGCUUCUAAUCAGAAUGUCUACAUUUUAAGAUUAGAUCUCAAAUCAGGUAGGACUACCCGCUGAACUUAAGCAUAUCAAUA